rnacentral:misc_RNA from 1 species
GGACAUUAGGCUUGAAAGUUUCAAAAUUGUAAUGUUUAAAAUUCUUUGAGAUAAUUGUCAAGAUUCUAAGAUUUUCCAGGUUAUAAUCGAUACUCGUAACAUUCUUACCCCGAAAGGUCCACGGUACCGAGUCGAAGUUGUCGAUCGUCGCGGAGGCUAUCUAUCAGUCCCGAGUCAUUAGAGGAGUCGAGGCGGCCGCGAUCGUCUCUCCUCUGCGAAGGAUCAUUACGUUCUCACAUCGCUGCCUCCGCCUUCUUCCUUUUUCUCUUCUUGCGAUUCCAAGAAUUUCGAUUUCUAUUUCGAUUUGUCGAUUUUUAUUUCGAGAGAUGAUGAUGACCAGUCGCACGGUUUGACGAUACGCCAAGGAACGAAUAGAGGAGAGAUUAUGAGACAAUUUUAUAGUCUUAGAAUGAAUUAUUAG